rnacentral:rRNA from 1 species
UACGUAGGUGACCAGCGUUGUCCGGAUUUACUGGGCGUAAAGAGCGCGCAGACGGUCGUUCAAGUCGAGUGUGAAAGCCCCCGGCUUGACUGGGGAGGGUCAUUCGAUACUGUUCGACUUGAAGGCAGGAGAGGGCAGCAGAAUUCCCGGUGUAGUGGUGAAAUGCGUAGAUAUCGGGAGGAAUACCAGUGGCGAAGGCGGCUGCCUGGCCUGUUCUUGACGCUGAGGCGCGAAAGCUGGGGGAGCAAACGGG